CCGAAGUUAAGCGUGCUUGGGCGAGAGUAGUAAUAGGAUGGGUGACCUCCUGGGAAGUCCUCGUGUUGCACCCCUGGC
rnacentral:rRNA from 1 species